UGCCUUUCCCAGGCUCUGCUGGGCCUCCUGCCUGGCUCCUCCUGAGCCAGGCGCACAAGUCUCGUUGGGAAUUCUCAGGGCUCCGUGUGAGGUGGAUUGGGGGAGAGGACCGACUUCCUCUGACAGGGCGCAUCCUCGCUAGCAUCCCCUGAAACAAUGCACUCAGCUGAUGGAGACCCAGCACUGCAGCUUCACGAGGCCACAGCCCCAGCUCUUCUGCGAAAGCGAGAUAACCAUUGUACUCAUCGCAUGUGAUUGCUGGCAGCAUGAAAUCAGACAAUGCGUGCAGAAUGCUUCGAGCAGGGCCAGCCCACAGCAAACACUGACUGUAUGAGGAAACCGAAGCUCCGUGUAAUUGGGCUGCCUGGUCUUUCCUGCCGUUAACUGGAACCCAGGUCUGUCUGAUGCAAGACCACGUGAAUGGAGACACCGAGAUGGGAGUGGCGAGGGACCUCACGCAAGGCCACAGAGGGAGAAAGCAGCCCGACUGGCAAAAGAGACCAAAAGGCUCGCUGCCAAGUUCUUUGUAAAAGACUGGAAACUGCCCAUCAGCAGGGG